rnacentral:rRNA from 1 species
GACGAACGCUGGCGGCGUGCUUAACACAUGCAAGUCGAACGGAAAGGCCUUUUCGGAGGUACUCGAGUGGCGAACGGGUGCGUAACACGUGGGUGAUCUGCCCUGCACUCUGGGAUAAGCCUGGGAAACUGGGUCUAAUACCGGAUAGGACCGCACUUUAGUGUGUGUGGUGGAAAGUUUUUUCGGUGUAGGAUGAGCCCGCGGCCUAUCAGCUUGUUGGUGGGGUAAUGGCCUACCAAGGCGGCGACGGGUAGCCGGACUGAGAGGUUGGUCGGCCACAUUGGGACUGAGAUACGGCCCAGACUCCUACGGGAGGCAGCAGUGGGGAAGAUUGCACAAUGGGCGCCAGCCUGAUGCAGCGACGCCGCGUGGGGGAUGACGGCCUUGGGGUUGUAAACUCCUUUCGCCAGGGACGAAGCGUUUUGUGACGGUACCUGGAGAAGAAGCACCGGCUAACUACGUG